GAAGAGUUAGUUCAAUAAAGACAAUUAACUUCGACUUAAUUAAUCAUGGUUUAAUCCAUGACUCUUCA
rnacentral:tRNA from 1 species